CCAAGGCUACGACGGGUAGGGGACCUGAGAGGGUGGUCCCCCACACUGGCACUGAAACACGGGCCAGACACCUACGGGGGCAGCAGUAGGGAAUAUGGGCAAUGGGCGAAAGCCUGCCCAGCAACGCCGCGUGCACGAUGAAGGUCUUCGGAUCGUAAAGUGCUUUUCUGUGAGAUGAGAAAGGACAGUAUCUCAGGAAUAAGUCUCGGCUAACUACGUGCCAGCAGCCGCGGUAACACGUAGGAGGCAAGCGUUAUCCGGAUUUACUGGGCGUAAAGCGCAUGCAGGUGGUUCGGUAAGUUGGAUGUGAAAGCUCCUGGCUCAACUGGGAGAGGUCGUUCAAUACUACCGGACUUGAGAGCAGUAGAGGGAGGUGGAAUUCCCGGUGUAGUGGUGAAAUGCGUAGAUAUCGG
rnacentral:rRNA from 1 species